rnacentral:lncRNA from 1 species
GAAUGAAUAAGUAAAUCAAUUACUGAUCAUCUAAUAUAUGUAAAGCGUUCUGCUCCAGAUUUUAUUUGCCUUCUCUAGUUUACCAAAUAUCCAACACAGGAGAAAUUAUUAUUUCUUUCUUGCAGAUAAGAGCAAGUUUUCUAAAUAUUAUGGCAUUUACCAUGAUUCCACACACCUGGUACACAACAAAAGCAACUCACAAAAGCCAGUGGGAGAUCCUAUCAUUUGUUCACAGUGAUCUAUUUGUUUUUCCCCUCCUAGAACUCUCCUUUAAGUGUAGAAUAUUUUCUCACCAGAAUAGGCAGAGUGGCUAGGUACCAAAAUGAGAAGCCAUGUAGAACCAAGCUAACCUCAGGCUGAUUCUAGCGGAGCCCAUGAGAAGUGAGAGGAGCUCAGCAGAUUUAUGGCCAACCUGAAAAACUUACAUUACACACCAAGAAAAAAUAGAUGUUCUUAUAAGAGACUGAAAUUAGGAGGUUGCUUUGGCCAUAAGAGAAGUCUUAGUUACAACUUCUCUCUUCAGCCCCUACCCAUUUCACUAGACUCUGGCAUUUUUUUUUUUUUUUUCAGACCCUGUAAAUUUAUUCUUUCCCUGCCUUGAAUUGAAUGCUCUGCCUAUAUUCUCCCCUCAUAGACACUUUCUGUAAAGAUUCCUCACCUCUUAGAUUUCUUCGGAAAGCCCUUCCUAAUCUUUCAAAUUAGAUGUCAUUGGUUAUAUACCAUCAUAGUAGUUUACUUUUUUUCUUAAAACUAAACAUAUUUUUAUCUGUAUACUUUUUGUUAUAUAUUUGAAAUAUAUUGGUCUCACCAACAAGACUGAAAUUUUCAUCAGUGUAGGAACUAUGUCAACUUUUUUCUUUGCUGUGUACACAGCAUCUGAAACAGAGCUUGAGACCUAGAACAAGUUCAAUAAAUAUGUAUUAUCUGAAUUAAUAUGCUCAAAUAGAUAUACUAAUGAAUUCAAGCCACAAAAUCUAAAUAACUACCUAUGGCUGCAUAUUUUUCUUGAGGAUUUUACUCAUUUGUGCCUCAUUCAUUGUAGAAACUUGAAAUUAGAAAAGUGAUCCGUUGUUAAUUUCCUUCAAAUACAAUGUUGUAUGUUUAUUUAUUACCAAACAUGCUUUUGCCUCUCUAUACAUACAGUCUCUUGGUUCCUGAUGCUUAAACUACUCUGAAUAAAGUCUUUAGGACGCUAGAAUGAGUAGUGAGUUGUGGUAUAAAUAAAUCUUCCUGUGGAAUUCUGUUCUGUGGGAAAUAUUAAUAGGAGGUUUGCAGAAUAAUUUUUAAAUACAAUUUUACUCUCGAUUAUUUCUUUUUAAUAAACAAACUUUUCUAUUAAAAGCAAACCUGAAAUGCUCAUGUUUUUGUUGUUUAUGUGUGUGUGUGUGUUGGGGGGGGUAAAUUAAUGGCCCAGGGCAUCUUCUAAAGAUAAGGAAGGAUUUACAGUAAUUUUACCCCAAAGAACAUGCUCCAGAGAUUUGCAAAAUCUCCACCUCUCCUCUUUUUCACUGUGGCAAACCACAGCUAAAUUGUUAAUCCAGUAUCUAUUAUGAACUUCAGAUCUCUCCUAGGCAAAAUGGUGUUGAGAGACUCAGACAUAAGCUUAGAUGUCAGAGAGCCAUAAAUUUAUUUACUGGUUUCAUUGCAGCUCAACUUUUAUUAGUUAUUACAUCUUAAGAAAACAUAAUAAAACAGUAUCAUGCCUGUGUGAACUGGAGUUCGGCACUUGCCACCUGCGUGUACGUGGAUUAAAACAUGAGUCACCACAGUGGCUGGCCCUCAACAUCCCCCAAGGAGAGCUCGGGGUAGAGAUCACGCGUGAGGCACUCGGUGCUCUGAGAAAACUGGAAGAACAGAUCUUCAGAGAGUUAGAAGAUUCUAUGUGUCCAAAUCUUGCAUCUCCUCAUAUCUAGAAAAACCCUAAGCUCCAUCAUGGUGAUGUCUGCUCCUCAUGACUAAUAGUCACCAUCACGAGACCAGCAGCAAACUUCUGUAAAAGAUGUGCAUGGCUGCAUACGCCUCCCCCUUCACCUUUCUCACUUAUAUUUUGAUAUUUCCCCUUUCCUCUUUGGGGUGGUAUUUCAGAGAUGAAAUACUGCCUCCUGGGCUGCAGCUAAGUGGACAAAACAAAGGAUGUCACAGUCAUCUGUGACAACUCCCAAGCGUGAGCCACGAGUCCUGAGGGAACUCAGGAGAGAAAUAAAGAAUAGUGGCUCAGAUAGCUGAGGUGCACAUCAAAGGAGCGAUUCCAAUAAGCCCAGACAUUUACAUCCUCCCAAAGCUGAAUUCCUUAAUUUGAGAUAUCUGGUGUUCUAUAAAUCUUUUGUUCCUACUACCUUCCCUUUGCUACAAAACCUCAUAUAUCCUAGCUCCCCCCUUCACCUCCUGAGCAGGUUUUCGCAGGGCUUCCUGAGAUGCUGUCUCUAGGGCUUAAGUCUUAAUUUUGCCUCAAAUAAAAUCUAACUCUCAACUUUCAAGUUGUGCAUUUUUUUUUAAAGUUGAGGUAUACACGCAUACAGUGCCUGAAAUCUUUGCUAAUACAUGAUUUGCUUCCAAGUAGUUUUCCUCUCAUUUCCUAGAGUCAUUAGAAUAAUUAGAUAAGACCACUUAAAAUGUGUCUAGGGCAGAAUCAGUACUCAAUACACAUUUUUUCUAUCAAGCCAGUGUUAUUUUAUAUAAAGGAAGUUCGUCAUAUUAAGUUCCCAUCUUUCGAUUCAUUUUUUAUUUAAUAACUGUUUUAUUGCUUAUUUUUGAAGGUUUCAGAGAUGAUGAUUUAAAUCAUUCUUUUGUCACACAGGUUCAGUUUAGGUAUCUAGUCUCUAGCUUUUCUGGAAGCACUAGGAUCAAUUCCAUACAUCAACCCUAACCUGGUUCUGCACUGAAACUUAACUUCCAGAGAAGAUCAAAAUAUCACACAUUUAUCUUUGCAGACAAUCAACAUAUCAAUAUGCCUAGAAGCAAAAGAUAAAUUUCCCUUUUGUUUGAUCAAUAGACUAAUAACUACAAGUGCUAUGAAUGAAGAUAAAACUAUCUUUUCUAUUUUCAUAUCUAACCACAUUAUUUGACUUGAUCUCAUCUGUGUCAGAGAAUUCUAUCGCCUGACUACACACAAUGCAAAGAAGUAUUUCCUUUCAUUGAUUCUCAAUUUCCCCAUCAUUAAUUCCAUUGACUGGGCUGCAGGCUUUCAAAAUAGAGAAAAGUAAAGCUCAAACAAAGAAGUUCUGUCAGUUUUGUUUUACCAAGUUUCUUUAUUCUUACUUUUAUUUGAGGAGGAGGAGGUGGGCAGUGCUCUUACUGUUUAAGCAUUUUUUUUUAUGCCAGACCAGAGAAGAGAAGGUAAAAAUAAAAACAUGCAUAAUAAUGAACUCUUAGUGCCUAGAAUAGUGCUUGAGGAUUACAAAAUAAACAAAAAAUGUUGAUUGAUAGAUAAAUCAAGAUUUGUGAACAAAGCAAUCAAUACAUAGUCACUCACCAGAUAGUAAGUAGAGAAACAUUUAUUGGUGGUCUACUUAUACCAAGAUUGUGAAAAAUGCUGCAGAUAACUGGAUGAUAAGUCAUGGUUCUGCCCUCAAGGAACAUAACCAGUUGGAAACCUCAUGUUAAUUAUUACAAAAGAGACAUUAAUGCAACAGAAAGAGAGGAUCUGUUACCAUCUAUUACCACCUGGAGAAGUUACGGAGCUUCUCAUUUGUUUAUUCUUGUAUCUUUCAUUCUUUAAUCAUAGUCUCAUUUUUUUCUCAUAUCAUACACAUGAGUGAUAUUACAGCUAAUUAUCUUAUUGGAGAGAGGAAGCAAAGCUUUUUUUUUUUUUUUUUUUUUUUUUUUUGCUUAACCCACAGUAUGGAGAAAUUCCUGGGCUAAGGACUGAACCCACACCACAGCAAUGACCCAAGCUGCUGCAGUGAUCCUUAAUCUGCUGAGCCACUUGGGAACUCUGAUUUAAAACUUUUUAAUGUCUCUCACCUUUGAUUUAUAAAACUCGAAUCCAUUUCUUAUAUUUUGUAAUCUAGUCCAGUCCUGAUCUGAUUAAAUGAUUAAAUUCUACUUGAUUUUUAUACUUUAUAUGUUUAUUGAGAUGUAGGCAUUUGGCAUUUUAAUACUAUAUCCCUCAUACUGAUAGUAUGUUUAGGUUUAAUAAAAAUGUGUAACAACUCAAAGUAUAUGUUAUGUACCUUACAUUCCGGUGGAAGGGGAUUACAAAAAAAGACACGUAAAUCUCAAAAUAUACUAAUAAGUUUAGUGAAAGGCAUAAUACAAGGUGAUGCCAUGCAAAGGAUGAGGUGGCUAAUUUAAAUAGGGUCCACAGAGAAGAUCCUCAGGAAGUAACAUUUGCUAUGAAACAUGAAGAUGCUACUUACUUGACGAUCUUGAGGAAGAGCAGUCCAAAUUGAGAGAACAACUUAUUCAAGGGCUAGUAAAAAUUAAUCAACAGAAAACUCAAUUAAAUAGAGUCAGGAGGCUAGAGCGGAUGUCUCUCAUGCCCUGUGACCAAGACAGAGCACAAGAGGAAGAAAGACUCCUCUGCUUUCCCCCGAAAGGACUCAGCCAAUGAGAAGUCUAGGACUCCUUAUUUGCUAGAGGUCCCCCACCCCCCACCCCCCGCCAAACACACAGCUUCCUUUCUCCUCUAUGAAAGCUCUCCCCUUCCCUUGCCUUGGGGGAACUCAAAUGUGGCCCAUGCCAAUAUGGACAAUCAUUUGGGAAUUUUGCAGGGCCAGGAUAAUGAGUGUGAAAUUUAUUCUGAAUCAUUUAUAAAGUGAUCGGCACAACGAUUCUCAACAAGGCGACAGUUUUGCUCCUACUUGACAGUGUGUACACAUUUGGGUUGUCAUGAAAAGGGGAAAGGUGCUACUGGCAUUUAGUCAGUUGAGUGGUGGGAUGAUGCUAAACAUUGUGCAAUGUAUUGGACAGUUCCACAUGACAAAUAAUUAUCCUGCCUAAAAUAUUAUAAUGUCCAGGUUAAAAAGGAAACAAAACUAUUUUAGGCAAUGGUAAAGAGGUCAGGAUAAAGUGAUGUAAUGUAAUUUACAUUUUUAGUUACUCUGGAUGCUUGUUGGAAGUUAAAUUAUAGACCAGAGAGUGUGGAUCCCAAAAGAGAUCAAGAGAAUUUUGCAGCGGUAAAAAAAUAAGAUGUGAUACCCAUUUAUGUUGACCAUAGAUCUUCUCUAUGUAGUUUUAUUUCCAAAAACAUGAUUUCAUCCGUGUCAUAAAUAGACUCAAGUAAUAAGUCAUGCUUCCAACUAUGGUCUAGUGCAUUUGUAUUCCCUUCACCUCUUGCCUCAAAGCCUUUCAGCUUUAACAACUGUGACAAUGGAGAAGACAAGGGAUCAAUCUAUCAUAAACAGAAUAUUUAACAUGGCAGUGAAAUCUAAUAUCGAUCUUCCCCCCAGCCCCACAUCCUAUUUUUUUAUUUAUUUAGCCCUCUUCUGGGUUCUAACAAAUAAAAUAUGUCAUUUCUUCCUGUGACGAUUUAUAUCCCUAGAAGGAAGAUGAAAUGUGAAAGCUGAACAUUAUCCAUUAACUCUUAUUUAUAUACUAUUUCUACUUGUCAAAUAUUAUUCGCAGAAGAUCAAAAUAUGAUGGUGAUUUUUUUCUCUUCAAUUCUAGGCAAUUUGAUUAAGUUGCUACACAUUCAUACAUCAUUCAGUGAAAAACAUUACUUGAACUACAGCACAGAAGAGGUGGAAAAUAAUUUUGACAAUUCAGAAAACAAUCAGGCACUGAGCAAUUGGGAAUUUUGAAAGAUUUUCCAGUCUGUCAUGUGCUUUGUAGCUAAAGCUAAUGAAAACAAUUGAGGCCAUUCCUCUUGGAGACACGUGGUCACAAUUGACCAGUCAUGUUUUAAAUACAGACUUUGUAAACAACUAUUUAUUCAAAUUUCACCUUGGCCAUUUAUAAUUUUUGGAUAAAACACAGUGAAACCUAUAUGAGCCAAUUUGAUUUCUCUAUAAAUUGGGUGUGAUAUCAUUUAUUAAAUAACAAAAUAUCACAGAAGACCUAUGGUAGGAGAGCUCUUGUGGUAGAGCAGGUUAAGGAUCUGGCAUUGUCACUGCUGUGGAUUGGGUCCCUGCUGUGGUGUGGGUUUGAUCCCUGGCUUGAAAAAGUCCACACAUGCCACAGGUGCCACCAAACAAACAAACAAACACAGCAAAAAAAAAAAAAAAAAAAAAAAAAAAAAAAAAAAAAAAAA